rnacentral:rRNA from 1 species
CGGACGGGUGAGUAACGCGUGGGUAACCUGCCUUGCACUGGGGGAUAACACUUAGAAAUAGGUGCUAAUACCGCAUAAGCGCACGGUCCUGCAUGGGACAGUGUGAAAAACUCCGGUGGUGCAAGAUGGACCCGCGUCUGAUUAGCUGGUUGGCGGGGUAAAGGCCCACCAAGGCGACGAUCAGUAGCCGGCCUGAGAGGGUGGACGGCCACAUUGGGACUGAGACACGGCCCAAACUCCUACGGAAGGCAGCAG